rnacentral:tRNA from 1 species
UUAAUAGAAGCCAAAAAGAGGCUAUUCACUGUUAAUGAAUCUACUGAUUUUUCCUAUU